rnacentral:rRNA from 1 species
CCUACGGGAGGCAGCAGUGAGGAAUAUUGGUCAAUGGGCUUACGCCUGAACCAGCCAAGUCGCGUGAGGGAAGACUGCCCUAUGGGUUGUAAACCUCUUUUGUCAGGGAGCAAUUGGCGCUACGUGUAGCGUUAUCGAGAGUACCUGAAGAAAAAGCAUCGGCUAACUCCGUGCCAGCAGCCGCGGUAAUACGGAGGAUGCGAGCGUUAUCCGGAUUGAUUGGGUUUAAAGGGUGCGUAGGCGGAAUGCCAAGUCAGCGGUAAAAUCGUGGGGCUCAACCUCGCUCCGCCGUUGAAACUGGCGUUCUUGAGUGGGCGUGAAGUAUGCGGAAUGCGUGGUGUAGCGGUGAAAUGCAUAGAUAUCACGCAGAACUCCGAUUGCGAAGGCAGCAUACCGGCGCCCAACUGACGCUGAAGCACGAAAGCGUGGGUAUCGAACAGGAUUAGAUACCCGAGUAGUC